rnacentral:tRNA from 1 species
GGGUGAUUAGCUCAGUUGGUUAGAGCACAGUCCUGAUAAGACUGGGGUCAAUGGUUCGAGUCCAUUAUCACCCA